UUUUCCGUGAAACGUCAACUAUGUCUAAUUAAUUUUUCUUGUUUAAAUGGUUGUUUAAUGCGUUUCAAACGGUUUUUGGGCCCCACAAAGCAUGUUUAAUGUAAUUUUGUGGUUAUGUUGUGCGACAGUCGUCAUGAAUGUGUGUAUUAUGUUGACCUUUGCACAUGUAGGGCGAACUAGUUAGUUUGGUUAUUUUGUUAAAAGAUUUCCAAUGUCCGUGUUUCUUCAAGCUACGAUGGCAAUGUUUGACGUGUCGAGAGAUCAAAGUCCUAUGAUUAAAUUGGCUAAGUAUUUUAUUCUGCGUGGUAUUUAAGCCACAUUUGUGUACGCUUUGGUAUGAUGUGCUGACGAUAAGCAAAAUCAGAAGAUAUUUAAUAUGUUGACAAAUUAAAACAAACGUAGUAAAAGGUGUCCGACUGGUGACAAUAAUAAAAAAAUCUUUUACUCCA